CAUCCUGCGAGUAACCGAACAUGGACAAAUUUCACCAGAUGUAAUUUGCACACCACUGAAGGACGAAGGACGGCAAUGAACUUGUUCUACUUAGCAUUAAUAGGUCAUGGGCUCUCUUUGACAUCUUUGUUCAUCUCACUAGGCAUAUUCUUCCAUUUCAAGAGUUUGAGCUGUCAGAGAAUUACCCUGCACAAA